AUUGAACGCUGGCGGCAGGCCUAACACAUGCAAGUCGAGCGAGCUGCGGACGGGUGAGUGAUGUAUGGGGACUGCCCGAUAGUGAGGGGUAAAUAAUGGAAACGGUAGCUAAUACCGCAUACUAUCCGAUAACCCAUAUGGGAUUAUCUAGUCGGUGAGGUAAUGGCUCACCUAGGCGACGAUCCCUAGCUGGUCUGCGAGGAUGACCAGCCACACUGGGACUGAGACAGGGCCCAGACUCCUACGGAGGCAGCAGUGGGGAAUAGUGCACAAUGGGCGCAAGCCUAAUACAGCCAGGCCGCGUGUAGGAAGAAGGCCUGAGGGUUGUAAAGUACUUUCAGUCGGGAGGCGUUACCGAAAGAAGAAGCACCGGCUAACUCCGUGCCAGCAGCCGCGGUAAUAC
rnacentral:rRNA from 1 species